rnacentral:rRNA from 1 species
AUGCUUUUUCCAGCACCUUAUGAGGUGCCAGAGAAGAUGGCCAAGAAAGCGGUCAAAGGGGCCAAGAAGGGCCCACGCCAAAAAGGUGCUCCAGACGUGAUGUCCGAAUUCGAGAUUUCCUCUUCGUCCACUGACGAUGACGAAGAGGAAGAGGAAAGCGACUCCCCACCUGAAGUGGGGAGGAAAAAGAGAGCAGCACCCGUAGAUCUAGAGGCGAAAGCGCCUAAGAGGGUUAGAGGCUCCCUCGCUGAUAACUCCGUGUGGGAUGUUGAUAGCAGUCCGGAGCAACCUCACCGGACCAAGCCUCGGGCCGCCUCGUAA